AGUACACCGUAUAUCAUUAAUAUAUGCCGUACAAAGUGAUGCACGAUCUAUUUUGAUAAUUAGCAUUAGUGUUAAUUACUGAGUUUUCGCGAGUGAUUUGAAGGAAUCUGAAAGGAGGAAGAGGUCUGGGAGGCAUCGGACAACGGCGGAGUUCUAUGAGAAGUGUUAUGUGAGUUCAACGGAGCAACACUUGAGAGGAGGCCUGGGAGGCAUCAGGCGAUGGCGGAGCAACUAUGGGUUUAACGUAGAUUAUUGAUGUGAUAUGAUUGAUAACUCCGCUGCUGUGCACCGUAUUGGUAUGGGCAUACAAGUGGGCUAUCUUUUUCGUGGACACGGAUGAAUGCUGAUGCAGCGGCGAGAUCUUGGAAUGUACCCGAUGGUUCAAUGUCGGAGGGUCGUGGUCGACUGGCCGGUCAGUUGCUGUUGUUUUAUUCAAGAAGCUGAAUAUUGAAACGAGAGUCAAUACUCGCCAUCCGUUUCCACACGAAAGCAAACGAAUGUGCUUAUAUCGUUGCGCUUAUACGAAUGCGGCCGGAAGCUGCAUCUCUAUACGAAAACACGUUCGCGUCGUAUCGAAUUAUCUACUCUCGACAAUCGUUUCGUAAGUGGCGAAUUAUCUGGCUAUAUAAUUGAUCGUCCUAGUGAUUACCGUGUUGU